rnacentral:lncRNA from 1 species
CGGGCAUCAUCACAAUAUCAACAUAUUCUGCCGAAUUCAUUGAGCAUCAUCAUAAUAUCACACAUUCCUUCGGACUCGAACCGGGCAUCAUCAUAAUAUCACACAUUCCUCCCGACUCGAACCGGGCAUCAUCAUAAUAUCACAUAUUCAUCUGGACUCGAACCGGGCAUCAUCAUAAAAUCACAUAUUCCUCCAGAUUCGAACCGGGAAUCAUCAUAAUAUCAUAUAUUCCUCUGGACUCGAACCAGGCAUCAUCAUAAUAUCACAUAUUCCUCCGGAUUAACAUGGCAUCAUCAUAGUAUCAAUAAUUCCUCCGGA